rnacentral:rRNA from 1 species
UACGAAGGGGGCUAGCGUUGUUCGGAAUUACUGGGCGUAAAGGGCGCGUAGGCGGCUUGAUAAGUCGGGGGUGAAAGCCUGUGGCUCAACCACAGAAUUGCCUUCGAUACUGUCUGGCUCGAGACCGGAAGAGGUAAGUGGAACUGCGAGUGUAGAGGUGAAAUUCGUAGAUAUUCGCAAGAACACCAGUGGCGAAGGCGGCUUACUGGUCCGGUUCUGACGCUGAGGCGCGAAAGCUAGGGGAGCAAACGGG